UAUUGUGUUUUCAAUCGAGUUGCGACGUCAAGAGGUCAAACUCCGCCCACUUUUUUUCACGCGAACAUUAAAUUUUAGUGCAUUUUGAAUUUUUGCGUGAAAAAAAGUGGGCGGAGUUUGACCACUUGACGUCGCAACUCGAUUGAAAACACAAUA
rnacentral:pre_miRNA from 1 species